rnacentral:rRNA from 1 species
ACGGCCAUAUCACGUUAAAACACCGGUUCUCGUCCGAUCACUGAAGUUAAGCAACGUCGAGCCUGGUUAGUACCUAGAUUGAUGAUCACUUUGGAAUACCAGGUGCUGUAAG